GAGAGAGAGUCGAAAGUCCGAACUAAACCUACCACGAAGUAGAAAACAAACCUUUGAAGAAUGGUAAUCAUGGACUUUGAUUUUUGAGAUACCAUAGCCACAAUGCUUCGAGAAAAUCGUGUUUUCACUAUUAGCUGAUGAAAAGGAAGUCAAGCAAAUCCCACAUUAAAGAAUUCAAUACAUUUCUGAGUUUUUCAACCAUGAUAUCACCUACCCAUUAUGAAGAAUCUCUCUCUCUCUCUCUCCUUCACCAACCUUCUUACUCAAAAGUACCACUUACUCUGUUCUUUUAGCUCAACUGUUUAGCUUUUCGCUUGAUCAGUUCUAGUAAACCUUCAAUUUAUCUGCAACAAAAGUAACUAUAUUUCUGUUACCAUUCUCUAACCUCUGCAAAACGCAGUGCUUAAUCUCAUAAGAGAGUACAAUUGAGGUUCUUGCCACCUAAUCCAUUCACCAGCCAGUCUUUCUGGAUUCUCAUUGUGGUCUCAUUCUAUGGUUGUUUCUUUAAGCCAGGCCCAUGUUUUUCUUCAUAAUAUUAUUUCAGUUUCUGUUACUUUCUUUCGUUAUCUCCUUCUUAGUUUGAUGGCUGGGUGAGAACUUUGUAGAUCUUGAGAUUUGAUCUCCUGUUUCUUUAAGAAUGAAAAUGGGAUUUCAGGUGGGUCUUUUGCUGGUGAUCAUACGCGUUGCUGCUUGUGCUUUUUCAGUUCUUGGAUCUGCAGAAACUGUCUCAUCUCCUAGACAAGCACCUUCCAGUUUCAGCAGGAAUAGAUAUGGAAAGCUGAGCAGUUCACCACCUGUCAAAGAAUCCCACAUUCCCUCAUCUGUAGAUCACUUUCCAAAUGAAGCCCCACCCAACACCAUUAAGCCUUCAAGUAUUGCUCUUCCGCCUUCUAUAUCAUCGUUUCAAAGUCCUGCAAAGAAGUGGAUGCACAGUCCUACAUAUUCACCUUCAAUCUCAAGUAACAGAAAUCUUCGUCAUCAUCAUGCAAGGAAUCAUCAUAGCACUCCUGGACCAUCUUAUUUGAUUCCUCCACCAAGUUACAAUCAAAUAGGCAUGAUUCUCUGACCUGAAAGAUCCUCCAUCAAUUUAUUAUGUAAUUCCUAUGUUUUAAAACUAAGUUCUGAGCAUCUUUUAUGGAAUACACAGCUCCAUCAGUCCCUUCGUUCCACUCUUCUUCUCCUUCAUCAAUGAGCUGGGAUUCUCUUGCACCUGCAUUAUCACCAACUGCACCAAAGAGCCAUUUUAGUGGUACGUGAAAUACUUGGUUUAAUCUUGGAUUUCAUUAACUCAUUUAUAGUGAUUGUUCAAAGCACCUCAUUGAGUUGAUUUUUUUGCUGGUAACAAGUGCACAUCCAUCCUCCUGCAAUGUCUCCAUUGAAUUCUAACUUGAAGAAGAUGAAGGCUCCACAACCAUCACAAAUUUUGUCUCUACCACCUCCACCUCCAAAUGGAGAUUGUGCAUCAGUAACAUGCGCAGAACCACUAACAUAUACUCCUCCUGGGACAUUUUGUGGAUGCGUAUGGCCUAUUCAAGUUAAACUCCGUCUUGGUGUUGCAAUAUACUCAUUCUUCACUUUGGUUACAGAACUGGCUGAGGAAAUUGCAGCCAGUGUUGCACUAAACCACUGUCAGGUUCGCAUUAUGGGAGCCAACGCAGCUAGUCAGCAGCUAGAAAAAAGCACUGUUCUCAUCAACCUGGUACCAGAGGGAGUAAAAUUUGCUGAUAACACUGCAUUAUCAAUCUACAAGAAAUUCUGGAACAGACAGGUUCUCAUAAAGGCUUCCCUCUUUGGUUCCUAUGAAGUAUUAUAUGUUCACUAUCCAGGUCUUCCACCCUCUCCACCUUCACCUUUGAGCAUUUCUACUAUAGACGAUGAACCGUAUCCUGGCCGCAACAACAAUGGAAGGACAAAUAAACCUUUAGGAGUUGAUGUGACAAGGAGAAAGAAAGAUGGGCUUGGUGGAAGCACGAUAGCUGUGAUUGUUCUCUCCUCUUUCACUGCCUUGGUUAUAUUUAUGGCAAUUGCCUGGCUUUUUAUGUUGAAAUGUGGAAAUUGUGUUCAUCAACCUCAGCAAGCUCCACAAGCCUCAAUGACCUCCCCUGCAAAGCCAUCAGGAACUGCUGGGCCUAUGAUUCUUGGGGGCAUUCCUAGUUCUUCAUCAAUGUCCUUCAGUUCUGGUGCCAUGACAUAUACAGGACCUGCAAAGGUUUACUCCUUGAAUGACAUAGAGAGGGCCACCAAUAAGUUUGAUUCUUCAAGGAUCCUUGGAGAAGGUGGCUUCGGGGUUGUCUACAGUGGCCAGUUAGAUGAUGGAAGGAAGGUGGCUGUGAAGGUUUUGAAGAGAGAUGAUCAACAUGGUGGUCGUGAGUUCUUGGCAGAAGUUGAGAUGCUUGGAAGGCUACAUCACAGAAACCUAGUUAAAUUGAUUGGUAUUUGCACAGAGGAGCAUACCCGCUGCCUAGUCUAUGAACUUAUUCCAAAUGGAAGUGUUGAAUCUCAUUUACAUGGAGUUGACAAGGAAACUGAUCCACUAAACUGGGAUGCCCGAAUGAAGAUUGCCCUUGGUGCAGCUCGAGGCCUAGCCUAUUUGCAUGAAGACUCAAACCCUCGGGUUAUACAUCGGGAUUUCAAGUCCAGUAACAUCUUGUUAGAACAUGAUUUUACACCUAAGGUUUCAGAUUUUGGAUUAGCUCGAGCAGCAAUGGAAGAGGAAAACAAACACAUCUCAACACAUGUUAUGGGAACUUUUGGUUACUUGGCUCCGGAGUAUGCAAUGACAGGACAUCUUCUUGUGAAGAGUGAUGUUUACAGCUAUGGUGUAGUCCUCCUUGAGCUCUUAACUGGGCGAAAACCAGUGGACUUGUCACAACCACCAGGUCAAGAAAAUCUUGUUGGUUAUGCUCGUCCACUCCUCACAAACAAGGAAGGUUUAGAAACAAUUAUUGAUCCAGCUAUAAAGUUUACUGUCUCCUUUGAUACUAUAGUCAAAGUGGCGGCAAUUGCAUCAAUGUGUGUGCAACCAGAAGUAUCUCACCGUCCUUUUAUGGGUGAAGUAGUUCAGGCCUUGAAGCUUGUUUGCAAUGAAUUUAAUGAAAUGAAAGUACAGAGAUCAAGCAGUCAAAGCUACGAACACCUCCUUACUGAUGUAGAUAGCAAGAACACAAGAUUUUCGUAUGAGAUUAUGGAAGUUUCACAAUCCCAUCACCCACUGCCAUUAUCAACAUCUGAUUUGUUUACAAGAUCAGUGGGACUUGAGGAGCAGGAAUUUGGGUCAUUCAGGAGGCACUCUAGUUCAGGACCAUUGAGAACAGGAAGGAUAAGACAGUUCUGGCAGAGAUUAAGAAGUUUGUCUAGAGGCAGCAUGAGUGAGCAUGGAUUUUCACUUAAAUUAUGGUCAGGAACCAGUUAAAUUUUGCCAAAGCAGGAAAAUUCCACUGUGUGCACAUUGCUGUAAAAUGCAGACACAAACUUCUUGUGAACAGGUCAGGACAAUUUCAAUAUAGUUUUCAAGAGUGGCUUUUGGUGAUGCCCAAAACCAGCAAUGAAGUUAAAUCUGGUUCUUGACAGAUUCAAUCUGCAAACUAUCAGCACGAUGAGCAGAUAAAAUGAUUUUAUUGUAUAUCCUUGUUUCCAAUGAGGUUUUGAUCUCAGUUUUCCUCAAGUUCAUUUCAUGCUGCAAUUUCUUACAUUUUCAUUUGAUGUUAAAAAAAAAAAAAAAAAAAAA
rnacentral:misc_RNA from 1 species